rnacentral:lncRNA from 1 species
UCCUUACAUAAGGUCUUGUAUCCUAAACCAAUAAGGUACUGGUGGGUGGGGUCUUCACAGAAGGCUAUGCUAGACUGUGAAUCCCUAAAAUCCUGCCCUAUGGGAAAAAGAGGGUAGGAAUUUCUCGGGGUCUGAGAUUUUUUUGUUUAUUUAUUUAUUUAGGUGUUGGGUUUUUUUGUUUGUUUUGGUUUUGAGACAGGAUUUCUCUGAGACAGCUUUAGCUAUCCUUGGAACUCCAUCUAUAGACCAGGCUGGCCUUGAACUCACUGAGAUCCGCCUGCCUCUGCCUCUCCAGUGCUGGGAUUAAAGGCAUGCACCACCAUGCCCUGCACUUAAUUUUACUUUUAAAGUUUGCUUUGGAUGUAUGGGUAUUUUGCCCAUCUAUGCACAAUGUGUGUGCCUGUGAAGCCACAAGAGUCCAUCAGAUCACCUGGAACAGAUGGCAGUGAGAUACUACAUGGGAGCUGGGAAUUGAACUUGGGUCCUCUAAAACCAAGCAGUGCUCUUAACCUCUCAACUGCUGAGCCAUCUCUUCAUCCCUUUAAUUCUAUUUUUAAUUGUGUGUAUGUGUGUGUGUGUGUGUGUGUGUGCGUGUGUGUAUGUGUGCGCGCGCACCUGUGCACACAUAGUUGUGCUGAUGAACCAGCCUGCCUCCAUCUUGGGCUCGAAAGCCAUUUAUAUUGUUCUAUGUGUGUGUGUGUGUGUGUGUGUAUGUAUAUAUGUAUAUGUAUAUAAUUUUUUUAUUUUAUGUUUAUUGGUGUUUUGCCUGCAUGUAUGUCUGUGUGACGGGGUCGGAAGCUCUGGAACUGGAGUUGCAGACAGGCGUGAGCUGACAUGUGGGUGCUGGGAAUCGCAGGUCCUCUGGAAGAAUGUCUGUGCGACUACUGAGCCACCUCUCCAGCCCUCGAAAGCCAUCUUAUAGUAAAAACAAACUAGGUUCAUUCCUGUUUAUGAUUAAACUUCCAUUUCUCAAGGAUCAGGCUAUGCCCCCACCUGUAACCUUAACUACCAAUGGUUCUGCACUGCCUGUUCCAGGAGUGCCAAUCAUGUCUUUAUUUGUAAAAGUUGUUUAUAACUAUCUUGUAACCUUACCUUUGCCGGGCAGUGGUGGCGCACACCUUUAAUCCCAGCACUUGGGAGGCACAGGAAGAGGCGGGCAGAUUUCUGAAUUCGAGAACAUCCUGGUCUACAGAGUGAGUUCCAGGACAGCCAGGGCUACACAGAGAAACCCUGUCUCGAGAAAACAAAAACAAAAAAAACCAAACAGGCAACCUUUCCUUUCAGAAGGUUAUAAUCCAACCUGUGACUGUCUCGUUGUUAUGACUACCCUGUUAAGUACACCUCGAAACCAUGUCUUUGUUUCAGGAGGUCUUUAGAACUCACUUGUCUUCUGUAGACCACGCCUACUUUGCCCACAAAAUCACUCAUUUGGGGAGCUGGAGAGAUGGCUCAGUGGUUAAGAGCACUGGCUGCUCUUCUAGAGGUCCUGAGUUCAAUCCCCAGCAACCACAUGGUGGCUCAAGACCGUCUGUAAUGUCCCAGCACACCUGGCCUGAUUAUUUAAUUUUUUUUAUUUACAUAUGUGUGCAUAUGUGAGUGUGUUAAAGGAGGUCAGUGUAAAAAUGAAAGUGUUGGGAUUUAGCAAUGUGAUUCUACCAUGUGGGAGUGAGCUCAGGUUGUUAGAAAUGGAAGCAAGCCUUAUUUAUCACUAAACCAUCUCGCCAGCCCUUGUUUUGUUUCGUUUUAGACUUAUUUUUAUUUAUGUGUGUGUGUGCCUGUGUGUCAUGAAUGUGCAGUAUCUAUGGAAGCCAAAAGAGGCACUGGAGAGCCUAGAGUUAUGUUACAGGUGGUGUGAGUUGUCCAUGCUUGGCACUGGAUUUGGGUCCUCUGGAAUGGUGGUGGUGAAAGACCCCGAGAGGAGCCCCUCACUCAGGCCUCAGGACAGUAGCGGACCCCCAAGAACUCACGAGAGACCAAGCUUAAUGCAAACCACAUGAGGCUUUAUUCGGGGAAAGCCAGAGCUCUGGGGACGACUCAUAUCCCAUGCAGGGGUAGAGGAGUCGACCUGGAGGGGAAACAGGUCCCAGUUUUUAUAGGCCCUCAGGGGGGAAAGGAGAAGGGGGAGUAGGGGAUUUCCAGAUCU